rnacentral:rRNA from 1 species
AAUACUAGAGUUUGAUCCUGGCUCAGAACGAACGCUGGCGGCGUGGAUUAGGCAUGCAAGUCGAACGCGAAAGAGGGGGCAACCCCUUGAGUAGAGUGGCGAACGGGUGAGUAACGCGUGAGAAACCUGCCUUCAUCAGGGGGAUAACACUCCCAACGGGGUGCUAAUACCGCAUGAGACCACGGGAUCGCAUGGUCCUGAGGUCAAAGGUGGCCUCUAUUUAUAAGCUACCGGAUGAAGAUGGUCUCGCGUCCCAUUAGCUAGUUGGCGGGGUAACGGCCCACCAAGGCGACGAUGGGUAGCUGGUCUGAGAGGAUGGUCAGCCACACUGGGACUGAGAUACGGCCCAGACUCCUACGGGAGGCAGCAGUCGAGAGGCUUCGGCAAUGGGGGAAACCCUGACCGAGCGACGCCGCGUGAGGGAUGACGGCCCUUGGGUUGUAAACCUCUUUUGUUCGGGAAGAAGUGCGAUCAGGUUAAUAAUCUGGUCGUUUGACGGUACCGGACGAAUAAGCUCCGGCUAACUCCGUGCCAGCAGCCGCGGUAACACGGGGGGAGCAAGCGUUGUUCGGAGUCACUGGGCGUAAAGGGAGUCUAGGCGGUCAGGUAAGUAAGGCGUGAAAUACCUCGGCUCACCCGAGGAGCGGCGUCUUAUACUGCUUUGGCUUGAGUAUGGGAGAGGAAGUGGGAAUUCUUGGUGUAGCGGUGAAAUGCGUAGAUAUCAGAGGAACAACCC